rnacentral:rRNA from 1 species
AUUGAACGCUGGCGGCAUGCCUUACACAUGCAAGUCGAACGGUAACAGGUCUUCGGAUGCUGACGAGUGGCGAACGGGUGCGUAAUACAUCGGAACGUGCCCGAUCGUGGGGGAUAACGCAGCGAAAGCUGUGCUAAUACCGCAUACGAUCUACGGAUGAAAGCGGGGGAUCGCAAGACCUCGCGCGGCCGGAGCGGCCGAUGGCAGAUUAGGUAGUUGGUGGGGUAAAGGCUUACCAAGCCGACGAUCUGUAGCUGGUCUGAGAGGACGACCAGCCACACUGGGACUGAGACACGGCCCAGACUCCUACGGGAGGCAGCAGUGGGGAAUUUUGGACAAUGGGCGCAAGCCUGAUCCAGCCAUGCCGCGUGCAGGAUGAAGGCCUUCGGGUUGUAAACUGCUUUUGUACGGAACGAAAAAGCUCUCUCUAAUACAGGGGGUGAAUGACGGUACCGUAAGAAUAAGCACCGGCUAACUACGUG